UCCCUGGUGGACUAGUGGGUAGUAUGCAGCGCUCUCACUGCCGCUGCUCGGGUUCGAUUCACGGUCAGUAAG